UUUAGUGAAUGAGAGGAUCCGAGGAUGCACAGCAGCUGCCCAUCCCGGCCCCACCCCUCACCUCCCUGCACUGCCGCUCACACUAGAAUGUUAGUGGUGAUGGGCGUAGAAAAUCCUCAGUGAGCAGAGCACAUAGUUCCCUAGAACCAGGAGUGAUGCAAGCAUCUGACAGGACGAAAGCUUAGUUCUACGGCUCCUGGAGCUGCAGUGCCUUCCAUUUCCUCUGAGAGCUUUGUAGUUGUUCUGUGACCUGUCUGCCUUGGGCUCAUACCACUAAGAUAAGUUAUUUGGGCCUGGUUUUUGCAGUGUGGGAAAUCUGGGGAACAUAAUGAAAAUGUGUAACUAGUUUUUCCACACAUGCAGAACGGACUGUUUUUAUCUAUCCAUUGAAAAGUCUUCAGCUCAGCCUUUGCCUUUGGCAUGGUGACAUUUAAGAACAGUUACCAAAGAUCAGAGUUGCUAACUCAUUUGGAAGAUGUUUCUUUGGCAUGUGCAGAAGCCCUGGGUUAAAUCCUCAGGGGAAAAAGGAAAUCACGAAAAGCCAUGUCUGUAGUGAGCAGUGACAUAAAGCCACCUGCAGGGACCGUGUCACCCAAGCUCCUGCUUCUCACUGACGGUCUACCUCUGUAUCUAAUCUUCUCAGAGACACCAGAGUACUCUGAACUAGGAUCCAGAUACAUCUGGAGACAUACCACACUCUUAACAACUUGUACAAGAAUCUUCAGAUUAAAACCUGUCUACCCUGGGGUGGUGCUCUCACCCUGGGGUGGUGCUCUCACCCUGGGGUGGUGCUCUCACCCUGGGGUGGUACUCUCUGCAAUCUUCAAAGGACUUGAGGAUAAUAUUACAGACUAGUAGAUGUAUAUGUUCCAAAAAAGGACGCUGCUAUGGCAUGUUGGUAGCCUGUCUGGAGGUCGGGAAGCUCCUGGGAUAGUGUCCAGGGCCUAGAACAGGACCUAGUACUCAGCGGUGCUGGGUGUCCUCACUGACUCAGGUGUGGCUGUGACCAGCAGAGCGUGACUGCGGCUCUCCUACAAAGUGGAGAGUGGGAGCCUCCCCCGACCUUCAGACAAGGGCACACAGAUGCUUCCACUCACUGAGCGCUUGCCGUCCGCUCGGCUUCCCCCAUGCUGUGUGAGCCGACUACAAGCAACCCUCAUGGCAGCCUGGCAUGGAGGAUGGCCCUGCCUCCCUGAGGCCAGGGCUUCAGGAACACACUGAGGACGUGGCAGAGCCUAGACAGCUGUCUGCCCCACUGCCUGCUCUGUCGUCUCUCAGACUUGCAAGUUCACACAGUUCAUACCUUUAUGUGGUAACUUACCAAUCCAGAGGAUUCCAGGAGCCCUGGGAACGAUUGUUUGAAAUUCGUCUAAAUUCAUUAAAGCCAUUUAACUUA